rnacentral:lncRNA from 10 species
GAUCUCCUGACCUCGUGAUCCACCCACCUCGGCCUCCCAAACUGCUGGGAUUACAGGCAUGAGACACCACGCCCCGCCGAGUCCCUGCUUUUAAUUCUUUGGGGCAGGGAUCCCCAACCCCCUGGUGAUGGACCAAUACUGGCCUGCGGCCCCUUAGGAACUGGACUGCACAGCAGGAGGUGAGCGGCAGAUGGCAUGGGAAAGUAGCACACAGUCGGGACUCUGCAGCCGAGUUUGCCUCCUUGAAUGCACACAUAACACAGGAACAAAGACAGAGCUGCUUCCCUCCUGUUGGGUCUCUGGCGGACAGUCAGUCUCAUUUCCAGAUGGGGAAAGGGAGACCCAGGCUGCGGUGACCCACUGAGGCACAGGAUCAGUGAGAACCCAGCCCUGGCUUUGCCCAGACCUCUCAAGGGCACUUCGUGGGACCAUUGCCGGCCGUUGUGGCAUCUGUCCCUGGCCUUGCCCCCAUCCGUCUCUGCACAGCCCAGGUGGGUCCGAGCCAGCCCCAGGUCUCCAGGGUCCCAGCCCAGCCUCUAGAAGAGCCAGCAGCAGGGCUGGAAGGGAGAGCACAUGCUGGGCCUUGGGGCUGCCUUGGACCUCAGGCCGUUGACAAGGAAAAGCGGAGAGUUGGGAAAAAAGGACAAAUAGCUGAGCGCCAGCCGCAGUCUGGGGGACGGGAGCCUCGUGCGACUCUCGGAGUGCUGGCCAGAUUGGCAGAGGGGAGGAGAGAGGAAAAACCCAGGCUCUGAGGAAAAACCUCUCCAGCCCAGCGCGUGGCCUGGCAUUAACCCACUGCAGCCCCAGGAAGUGGUUCCACCCCAGGCAGCCAACAAGGCGGUGCCUGAACUAUGUCUGUGGAUGACGGAGCCACGACCUGUCCCUCAGGGCUCAGCGCUGCGGCUAUGUCCAGGGACCCCUGGCUGUGCCCACGUCGGGGCUUCCCGUUCCUUACCUGCCAUGAGAAUGAGAUGUCCAGGGACCUCCCUGCUCCAGCUGGGACCUGUGGGGCUUUGUCUGUUGUCCCGAGCACCUUGGAGAUGUCAUUUCUAACAUUUUAACCCAGGAAUCCCCCCACCAAGGGACAGAGUGCAAGGACAUGAUCGAACAGAAAAAGUUCUGGUACAAGAUCAACCCCGUGGGGUGGUGAGUGCUGCAGCCCCGGGCCUCACAUCCUGCCGUCCCUGUGGGAGAUUGGAGCGGUCCCAGUGCCCACCGCUGAUUCUCUGGCUCCAGCAACCCCUCCAGGUGGAUCCGUCCCACGCAGCCUGG